GCUAAAGCAGCUCAGUGGGAAGAGUGUUAGACUGAAGAUCUAAAGGUCCCUGGUUCAAUCCCAGGCUUUGGCA
rnacentral:tRNA from 1 species